GAUGAACGCUGGCGGCGUGCCUAAUACAUGCAAGUCGAACGGGGAUUUCAGCAAUGGGAUCCUAGUGGCGAACGGGUGAGUAACGCGUUGGUGACCUGCCCCGAAGAGAGGGAUAACAGACCGAAAGGUUUGCUAAUACCGCAUAAGCUCGAGUGAGUUAGAGAAGCUUGAGGAAAGGCCGAAAGGCGCUUUGGGAGGGGCCUGCGUCCCAUCAGCUAGUUGGCGAGGUAAAAGCUCACCAAGGCGAUGACGGGUAGGGGACCUGAGAGGGUGACCCCCCACAAUGGAACUGAAACACGGUCCAUACACCUACGGGUGGCAGCAGUAGGGAAUAUUGGUUAAUGGGCGAAAGCCUGACCCAGCAACGCCGCGUGCGCGAUGAAGGCCUCCGGGUCGUAAAGCGCUUUUUAGUGGGAUGAGGAAGGACAGUACCGCUAGAAUAAGUCUCGGCUAACUACGUGCCAGCAGCCGCGGUAACACGUAGGAGACAAGCGUUAUCCGGAUUUACUGGGUGUAAAGCGCGUGCAGGCGGUUUGGAAAGUUGGAUGUGAAAGCUCCUGGCUUAACUGGGAGAGGUCGUUCAAAACUACCAGACUAGAGUACAGCAGAGGGGAGUGGAAUUCCGAGUGUAGCGGUAAAAUGCAUAGAUAUUCGGAAGAACACCAGUGGCGAAGGCGGCUCCCUGGGCUGAAACUGACGCUCAGACGCGAAAGCUAGGGUAGCGAACGGGAUUAGAGACCCCGGUAGUCCUAGCCGUAAACGAUGUGGACUUGGCGUAGGCGGGUUGAAAUCCAUCUGUGCCGAAGCAAACGCGAUGAGUCCACCACCUGGGGACUACGGCCGCAAGGCUAAAACUCAAAGGAAUUGACGGGGGCCCGCACAAGCAGCGGAGCGUGUGGUUUAAUUCGAUGUUACACGAAGAACCUUACCAGGGUUUGACAUGCAAGUGGUAGAGAAGCGAAAGCGGAACGACCCUUCGGGGAGCUUGCACAGGUGUUGCAUGGCUGUCGUCAGCUCGUGUCGUGAGAUGUUCGGUUAAGUCCGCUAACGAGCGCAACCCACGUCGUGUGUUACAAGUGUCACACGAGACUGCCGGUCUUAAGCCGGAGGAAGGUGUGGAUGACGUCAAGUCAGCAUGACCUUUAUGUCCUGGGCUACACACACGCUACAAUGGCCGGUACAGCAGGUAGCGAAGUCGCGAGGCGAAGCCAAUCCUGAAAGCCGGUCUCAGUUCAGAUUGGAGGCUGAAACUCGCCUCCAUGAAGUCGGAGUUGCUAGUAAUCGCAGAUCAGCAAUGCUGCGGUGAAUACGUUCCCGGGCCUUGUACACACCGCCCGUCACACCAUGGAAGUCAGUUGUACCGGAAGUCGGUGUUUCAACCCGCAAGGGGGAUAGCCGCCCAUGGUAUGGCUGGUGACUGGGGUG
rnacentral:rRNA from 1 species